GACGUAGGGCGCGAGCGUUGUCCGGAUUUAUUGGGCGUAAAGAGCUCGUAGGUGGUUUGUCGCGUUGUUCGUGAAAACUCACAGCUCAACUGUGGGCGUGCGGGCGAUACGGGCAGACUGGAGUACUGCAGGGGAGACUGGAAUUCCUGGUGUAGCGGUGGAAUGCGCAGAUAUCAGGAGGAACACCGGUGGCGAAGGCGGGUCUCUGGGCAGUAACUGACGCUGAGGAGCGAAAGCGUGGGGAGCAAACAGG
rnacentral:rRNA from 1 species